AGAAACAAAGUCAGAAAAAUGAGUAAAAACACAGUAAAAUCAACAUUUGAGUCGUCGCUGUGUUAGCACCACGGAAAACUUCAUUGCUGAUCAAGUCUCGAUGCUAAAGGAAGCGAUGGGGCUGGUUUUUGUCGAACACGAGUGAGGCUGGACGCUGCACACCUGCGAGGACUGAGAGUUGAAGCAGGAAACAGCUGAGCUGACAGAAGAGACAGACGUGAAGAUUUCCACAAGUGUCACCACUUCAUCCAUGAAUCAAGAGACCAGAAAAUCCUCAACACAGACGUCCAUCCAGGUGUCACCACUGAGUCCAGAGACAGAGACCUCCAGGUGAACUCUCAGAAACCAGUGGAUCCACUAAAAGUGAAGGAGGAGUCGUCGUCGUCGUCAUCAGCAGCUGAAGUCCUGGAGCUGAAGUGGAUGAAAGAAAACAACAGUUAUGAAGAUGUUAAUGAGUAAAACAGAGAGAAAACCUCCUGCUCUGCUCCUUCAUGUUGUUACAGUGCAGACACUUUGUUUUACCUCCCUCUAUAACGUAGCUGUGAUCAAACAUGUCUCUGUGUUUAACUGCUUCUGUGUUAGAAGCAGUUAAACACAGAGACGUGUGUGAUCACAGCUACAUGACGUGUUCUGGCUCAGAGAAUAAAACAAAGUGUCUCAGUCAAACUUCUGUCAUUAUCUUGUCUGUGGUUUGUUAAAUGUCUGAAACUAAAAUCAUUAAAAUGUUUCUGAUUAAACUUUUCAGUUUUUCUCUAUUUUAAAAUCAUGUCACACAAAUCACUUUAUUAAGCAAAACAUUCUCUACUUGCAGCUGCUAAAUUAAAUUCUAAGAUUAAAAUCUUACACAGAAAUGUUUAAUAACCUAUCAUACAUUUAAUGGUUUUAAACUUUAUACUUGUUUCUAACACAUUCCAUAAACUUUUUAGUUUAGUUCUUUAAACUUAGAUUUAUACUAAAGGAUUUAUUUUAAAGUUUUAAGCUGAAUUUGAAACUUAUUUUUCAAACUUAUCUAAAGGCUUUAAAUUAUAAAGACUUUUUAAAACAUAUUUAAAAUUAUUUUGACUUUUUAUUUGAUAGUUAAGCUACUUUUAAAACUUAUUUUCACACUAAAAUUUAAACUUGUUUGUUAAAGGCUUAAUUUAUUUUUUGCAGCUACAUUGAGGAAAAAUAUUAAUUUACCUUUUUUCUAUUACUAAUUAAAACUGAUUAAGUCAGAGCAUCUUUAACUUGAUGUUAGUUCCAGAGAUUUUAAAGAGUCAAACUGCAGCUGAGAUAAUGACAGAGUCAGACUGAAAAGAAUAAAGUCAC